GCAAGAAUUAAUUCUCCAUUAGGGGUGCAGGUGUGAAGGUGGUGACAAAUCAGUCCUUCUAAUGAAGAUAUUUUACAGUAUUGUUGAGCUGUCUGUUGAUGUGUGAGAAUGGAAUUGCUUACAAGAUCCCAGGUCUAAAGAAUGGCCUUGCAAUGAGUUCCAAGGAUGAAUGUUAAGGUUUGGCUCCACUACUGACCUCCAUGAGAAGCUUACUGUUGAAGUGCAGAAGGGAAACUGACAGAGAGACAUCUCGGGAGCUUUGCGAUUUCCAUGUUCUUACAUGAUUGCACAGAAACCCUGAACUUCCAGAUGCUUGUCGUUCCAUGCAGUAACACUGGCGUAAUUCCUGGGAGAAUGAAGGCCAA